CCUACGGGUGGCAGCAGUCGAGAAUCAUUCACAAUGGGGGAAACCCUGAUGGUGCGACGCCGCGUGGGGGAAUGAAGGUCUUCGGAUUGUAAACCCCUGUCAUGUGGGAGCAAAUUAAAAAGAUAGUACCACAAGAGGAAGAGACGGCUAACUCUGUGCCAGCAGCCGCGGUAAUACAGAGGUCUCAAGCGUUGUUCGGAAUCACUGGGCGUAAGGCGUGCGUAGGCUGUUGCGUAAGUCGUGUGUGAAAGGCGCGGGCUCAACCCGCGGACGGCACAUGAUACUGCGAGACUAGAGUAAUGGAGGGGGAACCGGAAUUCUCGGUGUAGCAGUGAAAUGCGUAGAUAUCGAGAGGAACACUCGUGGCGAAGGCGGGUUCCUGGACAUUAACUGACGCUGAGGCACGAAGGCCAGGGGAGCGAAAGGGAUUAGAUACCCCAGUAGUC
rnacentral:rRNA from 1 species